CCGCGGGCGUCCCGGGCGAGGCUGGAGGCCGGCGGAGAGCCGAGGGGUCCCGGGAAGGGAGCCCCGCCCUCAGCCCCGGGCAUAACGUCCGGGCCUGGCACCCUGGGCAACGGGCCUUGGGGUGUAAAGACAUUCCUACCGACCAAGUGUCCCCUCCCCACCCAGGGCCCCCCGUUUUGUAUUUGCGGGAGAAGUUCUGAAGGCUGGAAGUCCAAGAUCAGAGUGCAGCAUGGUCAGGUUCUGGCGAAGGCCCUCUUGCUGGUUGCAGGCUGCUGACUUCUCGCUAGUGCCUUUUUGCAGAGUCGCCACCAUUAGCCUUUUGGAGUGAGCCGUCCGUAUCCUGCCAGGACCCUGACCGAUUCAACACCAUAAUCUGUGCGUAGCUGGUGUGGCCAUAUGCAGCAGCGCAGUGUGGCCCUUUCAACUGCAGAGCUGCAAGAUGGAUCGUCUACCUCCAGGCAUCAAGAGUCGGGAAGUGGAUAAUCCCCCUUGUGAUGCUGGAUGGGCAUCCUUCACGUCACUUCGUCCACACCGCGUCUCAUCACGUAGGCAUUUUGUCAUCUCACAUCAUCACAAGAAGGUGAGUACAAUGAGAUCUUUUGAGAGAGAGAAAGAGAAAGAAAGACCACAUUCAUAUAGGUUUUAUUUCAGUAUAUUGUUGUGUUGUAUUUUAUCGUUAUUGUUGUCUAAUAUGUAAAUUACACUUUAUUACUGGUAUAUAUGUGUAGCAAAAAAACAUAGUAUAUAUAGAGUUUUGGAACUAUCCAUGGUUUCAGGCACCCACUGGGGGUCUGGGAGUAGACUCUCCACAGAUAAGGGGAGAUAACUGUGAUAACUUCCAUGUAUUGAGCCCUUACUGAAUGCUUUACAUGAAUGAUAUCUUCUUUUUUUUUUUUAAGAUUUUAUUUAUUUAUUUGAGAGAGAGAAUGAAAGACAGAGAGCAUGAGAGGGAAGAGGGUCAGAGGGAGAAGCAGACCCCCCGCUGAGCAGGGAGCCCGAUGUGGGACUCAAUCCCGGGACUCCAGGAUCAUGACCUGAGCCGAAGGCAGUCGCUUAACCAACUGAGCCACCCAGGCGCCCAUGAACGGUAUCUUCUAACCCUCACCAGGAGGUUCCCCACUCUAUAGCUGUGGAAACCACAGGUGAGUGGUUUUGAGUGAUGUGUUCAGUAUAAUGUCUGAGCUAACAGUUGGGUGUGUCUGUCUGUCCCCAGACCCCAUGCUGGCAGCCACUUUACUUCUCAGAGUGUCCCUUAAAACCUGCAUCUCUUUGUGUUCUCAUUUCUUCCCCAGGGAAGAGCCUGUGCGCACAAUGUGGAAAUCUAGGUCAUAGGUAAUAAGCCUCUUGCAUCCUUAGAACAUGGCCCAGGGCGCCUGGGUGGCUCAGUUGGUUUCACAACUGCCUUCAGCCCAGGUCAUGAUCCUGGAGUGCCAGGAUUGAGUCUUGCAUCGGGCUCCCUGCUCAGCAGGGAGUCUGCUUCUCCCUCUGGCCCUGCCCCCCCAUGCUCUCUCUCUCAUUCUCUCUCUCAAAUAAAUAAAUAAAAUCUUAAAAAAAAAAAAAAAAAAGAACAUGGCCGCCUAGAAAUAAAGGAGAGAGAAUUCCAAGUUGGAGACAGUAGGGCAAUGAGCAGAGGGAUUUGGGUCCAGAUGGAAGCCAAUAUGAAUAGCAAGCAGAGCCUAUGAAAACAACAGAAUUCUUAUUUCAAUUAUGAGCCCCCUCUGGGGUACUUUGGUUGUCAUACUCUCUGAACCUACUUAGCCACCAGCUCUCACACUGGGUCAGGCAUUCUGCUAAGUGGAUGAGAGAUGCAAAGGGAGAGAAAACCUGGUCUUUGGAGGAAACUGGAGUAAGCAGGAGUCAGCUUGGAGGGCCUCCCACCACAAUGCUUUGGGACACAUCUGACUGACUGUCCCACUGCUCCUGACAGCACAUGAUUCUGGAAGGACAGGAAAUUGUUGAUAUUUUUGCUCAUGUCAGGGCCAUGAGGAUUAGAACAGGAGUGCUCAGAGUGCACUCUGUGUUGCCUCUGAACCUUCUCACUUCCCGCAGGCGGUCCAUGGAUCAAAUGGACCUGCUGCAACCAGAGAUAAAUACAUGACAACUACGUCUGUUAGCUAAAACGUUGGGUGAAGUUGUGCUUUAAAACAGAGUAUACUGGGGGCGCCUGGGUGGCUCAGUUGGUUAAGCGACUGCCUUCGGCUCAGGUCAUGAUCCUGGAGUCCCGGGAUCGAGUCCCGCAUCGGGCUCCCUGCUCGGCAGGGAGUCUGCUUCUCCCUCUGACCCUCCUCCCUCUCAUGCUCUCUGUCUCUCAUUCUCUCUGUCUCAGAUAAAUAAAUAAAUAAAUAAAUCUUUAAAAAAAAAAAAACAAAACAGAGUAUACUGGGUGCCUGGGUGGCUCAGUUGGUUAAGCGACUGCCUUCGGCUCAGGUCAUGAUCCUGGAGUCCCUGGAUUGAGUCCCGCAUCAGGCUCCCUGCUCAACGGGGAGUCUGCUUCUCCCUCUGACCCUCCCCUCUCUCAUGUGCUCUCUCUCAUUCUCUCAAAUAAAUGAAUAAAAUCUUUAAAAAAAAAAAAAAACAAAAAACAGAGUAUACCUCCUGGGAGUAAAGAGAAAAGAGGAAUAGCAUAAUGUCAAGCCUGCUUCAAAGAAAAAUGGCAUAUUUCCUGGAUGGUAUGAGGGCUUUAGGAUAGGGGUAUGUAAGGGAACACCGCCAGGGCAGCGGAUAAGUCCAUACGAACAGUGCCUGGAUGCUGAAGGCCCGCCAAGUGAAGAAUGCAAAAGCCCUGGAUGCAGUUUCACCCUUAGAGUUGUAGCCAGAGAUCCUAGUAUUUGAAGCAUGCCUCAAGUAAGAAACGGGUGAGAACUGCCGAUGAGAAUUCCAGUCUGGGCUUCAUCACCAACUUGCUCUGGGAGCUGGGGACAUUAGCAUGCUCAAAGCCUCCAUUUUGCUGAUCUGCAAAUUGGGGCAAACAACAUCUCUGUUGAACUUACUGAGAAUGUUAUGAGAAGAAAACGAAAUAGAAGAUGUGAAGAUGCUUUGUCAGUGUUCAAAAUUCUACACAAAGGGAAGCUAUUCCAGAUAUUCCCACUCUCCAAGUUCAAGUCUGAAAAAAAAAAAAACAAAAACAAACCCACUAAACCCUUUAGAGCCACACCUUUCAAUACAGUAGCCACCAGGCACACUGGCUGUUGAGCAUUUAAAAUGUGGCUAGUGCAACCGAGGAACUAGCUUUUAAGUUUUACUUAGUGUUAAUGAAUUUAAGUUGAAGAACUGAUACUUGAUUCAUUAUUGGAAAGCUUUUAAGUAUGCUUGGAACAGCCUGAGUAUGUGAACCUAAUUUUUAAACUGCAAAUUAUAUGAAAUCUAAAUACAUAUCAAUUGUUUCUGAUGAAAUUUAGUAUUUGAAUUGACAUGUGCUACAAGCAUAAGAUACACACCAGACUUCAGACUUAAUACAAAAAACAAUGUAUCAUUACAUGUUGAAAUAAUAUUUUGUAUAUAUUGGGUUAAAUAAAAUAUAUCAUUAAAAUUAAUUUUACCUCCUUGUACUUACCUUUUCCUUUUUCUUUUACUGCUCAGCCGAGUGCCUGGCACAUGGUUACUCUCUUUCUCUCUCUUUUUAAAAGUUUGUUUAUUGGGGCGCCUGGGUGGCUCAGUCGGUUGGGCGUCUGCCUUCGGCUCGGGUCAUGAUCCUGGGGUCCUGGGAUCGAGCCCCGCAUCGGGCUCGCUGCUCGGCGGGAGGCCUGCUUCUCCCUCUCCCACUCCCCCUGCUUGUGUUCCUGCUCUCGCUGUCUCUCUCUGUCAAAUAAAUAAAUAAAAUCUUUAAAAAAAAAAAAGUUUGUUUGUUUGUUUGUUUAUUUAUUUAUUUAUUUAAGUAAUCUCUACACCCAACAUGGGGCUGAAACUCACGAUCUGAACGCU